rnacentral:misc_RNA from 1 species
UUUUUUUUUUUUUUUUAAUAAUCCUUUAUUCAUGAGCCAUGCUUAUGUUUCCCUCACUCUCCCCCCAACGCAACCAUUGACAACUGGAUUGGAUCAGAGCCAUUACCAAAUCACCUAUGCAUUUGGUUACACAAGGAUUUACAUGAGAAGCUGAGCUUUUAAAAUUACAGAACGGACCUAUGCAGUUGUUAUAUCAAUAUGCACCGUCAUUUUCGAGACUGGUAUGUGCACUGCUCUAGUUGAUGAGCUAUAGUGCAUAGAACAUGCAACUAACAAAAUGGUAGUGAUAAUAAUUAUGAACCUUAUACUUGCCUUCUAUAUUGAUCUAUGUGAGCCUGUCAAAACCUAUGGAUUGUCACACAAGAAAAGGUUUAGGUGUUAUGUUGCCCUGUCGUGAAAUUUCCAAGUCACAUGCCCAUAUUGAAAGGGUUAUGAAUUAAAUACAUUUCUGUAUCUGGUAAUUAAAAUUUGCAAUCCAAUUUCAAAAUCCCCAUUAAAUUAACUAGUACUUAUAUUUUGAUAUUUAACUUUUUAUUUUCAGUUGAGGGAUCAUUCUUGGAUAAGUUUUUCAAAUCCACUGCAAAGAUGGAUCCACUGGAGCGUGCUGCAUAUCUUGAGAAUGACAGAGAAAUGGAAGUUGCACAUUCUGUAGCAGCAACAGCUGGUGAUACAGAGGCUUCAGAUAAUGUGGACACUCACUUUAUCUGCUUCGCGUGUGUGGAAGGAGAACUUUUUGAGCUUGAUGGAAGAAAGUCAGGACCGAUAGCACAUGGUGCAUCCUCACCAAGCAACUUAAUGCAGGAUGCAGCUAAAGUCAUACGGAACAUGAUCCAGAAAAACCCUGACUCCCUUAAUUUUAAUGUAAUCGCCAUUUCAAAGAAAGCUGAAGGUGCAAUUUAAAUUUGGCAGUUUCAGGCUGUACAAGUUUUGUCCAGCCAUCCAUGAUGUGGUCGGUUGUAGGCUUUAUAAAACCCUUUGUCAUCAGUUAAAGACAUGCAGGGAAUAAUUUUCUGUUAAAUGUUCUGUGUAAAGCUAAAUCUUUAGCAUAAGAUUUCUAUUAUGAAUCUCGCUGGUUGGAUGUACGGUUUGAGUUCCAAUAUUGUUCAACCCUAACAUGAAUCCUAUACUAAUGAUUUGGGUAAGAAGAUAUGAUAUUAUAAUGGAUCAAUUAUUCAGAAAUUAGGUGAAAUGCUGAAUGGCCCAUUCACUCUCUCUGCUAUGUGUCA